GGUGGAGCCCAUCCAGCCCCAUAGACUUGUGUGCCUCUAGGUCAUGCAGCAGGUCACUAAACAUUUCCCUGUGGAUUAUGGGGGCACAAUGGGACGGGAGUUAGCACAGCUUAUCAAGAAAGCUUUAAACUAGAUUUGAAGGGGGACGGGGUUGGAACCGGGGCUACUAAAGCGGUGCCCAGGAACAGCGCACCAAUGAUAUUAGGUAAAUGUGCCAGCCCUUCCAGAAAAAUAGUGGGAAGACUAGCCCGGCUGAAGUGCAUCUACAUGAAUGCACGCAGCAUGGGCAACAAACAGGAGGAGCUGGAGGCCAUCAUGCAGGAAGAAAACUACGAUUUAGUUGCCAUCACAGAAACGUGGUGGGAUGACUCGCAUAACUGGAGUGCUGCAAUUGAUGGCUACCAACUUUUCAGAAGGGACAGGCAAGGAAAGAGAGGAGGUGGGGUGGCCCUUUACGUUAAGAACAGUCUUCUAUGCCUAGAACUUAGCAAUAUGCAUGAUGACAGUGUCGAGUGCCUGUGGAUAAGGAUCAAGGGGAAGACCAGUAAGGCAGACAUUGUGGUGGGAGUUUGUUAUAGACCCCCAAACCAGGAUAUAAAGACUGAUGAAGUAUUCUAUAGGCAGGUGACAGAAGCCUCACGAUCACUCUCCCUUGUACUCAUGGGGGACUUCAAUUUCCCUGAUAUCUGCUGGCAAUAUAACACAGCAGAGAGGCAACAGUCCUGGAGAUUCUUGGAAUGCGUGGAAGACAACUUCCUAACGCAGCUGGUGAGGGAACCGACCAGGGAAAGUGCCCUACUGGACCUGCUGAUAGUUAACUCGGAAGGUCUUGUGGGGGAUGUAAACGUUGGAGGCCGUCUUGGACAAAGUGAUCAUGAAAUGAUAAAAUUUUCAAUUCUCACUGAAGCAAGGCGGGGGGCCAGCAGGACUGCCACCCUGGACUUCCGAAGGGCAGACUUUGGCCUCUUCAGGAGCAUGAUUGGGGGUGUCCCUUGGGAGAUGGUCCUCGAGGGCAAGGGUGCCCAGGAAAGCUGGUCAUUCUUCAAGGAGGCACUCUUAAAGGCGCAAGAUAAAGCUAUUCCCAAGUCCCUAAAAUCAAGCAGGAAGGGAAGAAGACCAGCCUGGCUAAAUAGAGAGCUUCGGCUGGAACUCAGGAACAAAAAGAAGGCUUAUAAUCUUUGGAAAAAGGGCCUGGCAGAUAAGGAGAAAUACCAUGAAGCGGUGAGGAUAUGCAGGGGGAAAAUUAGAAGGGCCAAGGCUCAAGUGGAGCUCAGCUUGGCCACCAAUAUUAACAAUAACAAAAAGGGGUUUUUUCAGUAUGUUAACAGCAAGAGAAAGGUUAGGGAUAAUGUGGGCCCACUGAUGGAUGAGGUGGGCACCCUAGUAGUGGAAGACACGGAGAAAGCAGAGUUGCUGAAUGCCUUCUUUUCUUCAGUCUUCACUGUUAGGACUGCCCCUCAUGAAUCUGUGGC
rnacentral:lncRNA from 1 species